GCUUUUAGCAGACUUCUCGAAAGCAUUCGAUACCAUAAACUUUAAGACCGUUCUAAAAAAAUUACACCGACUAAAUUUCUCCCAUGGCUUUUUAUACUGGAUAACGAGUUAUCUAACAAAUCGCUUCCAAUAUGUUCAAAUUGAUGACAAGAAAUCUAACCUAACCCCUGUAUGCUUUGGAGUACCACAAGGAUCCAUACUUGGUCCUUUUAUUUUUAACCUAUAUGUAUCUGAUGUCGAUGUCCCUCAAACCUGUUAUCAAUAUGCGGAUGAC